rnacentral:rRNA from 1 species
UACGUAGGGUGCGAGCGUUGUCCGGAAUUAUUGGGCGUAAAGAGCUCGUAGGCGGUCUGUCGCGUCGGUCGUGAAAACUUGGGGCUUAACCCUGAGCUUGCGGUCGAUACGGGCAUGACUGGAGUUCGGCAGGGGAGACUGGAAUUCCUGGUGUAGCGGUGAAAUGCGCAGAUAUCAGGAGGAACACCGGUGGCGAAGGCGGGUCUCUGGACAGAGUCUGACGCUGAGGCGCGAAAGCUAGGGGAGCAAACAGG